AUUGAACGCUGGCGGCAUGCCUAACACAUGCAAGUCGAGCGGGGUCCAUCCAGUGGCAACACUGGGGAAGACCUAGCGGCGAACGGGUGAGUAACACGUGAGAAACCUGCCCUGAACUCUGGGAUAACCCGAGGAAACUCGAGCUAAUACCGGAUGUCCCCACCAGAUCGCAUGGUCCGGUGAGGAAAGAUUUAUCGGUUCAGGAGGGUCUCGCGGCCUAUCAGCUAGUUGGCGGGGUAACGGCCCACCAAGGCAUCGACGGGUAGCUGGUCUGAGAGGACGAUCAGCCACACUGGGACUGAGACACGGCCCAGACUCCUACGGGAGGCAGCAGUGGGGAAUAUUGCGCAAUGGGCGAAAGCCUGACGCAGCAACGCCGCGUGCGGGAUGACGGCCUGGUGUAACGACUUCUAUGGCGAAACGAGACGGUACCGACACGAAGAAGA
rnacentral:rRNA from 1 species